rnacentral:rRNA from 1 species
UACGGAGGGGGCAAGCGUUGUUCGGAAUCAUUGGGCGUAAAGGGCGCGUAGGCGGCCGUCCAAGUCGGGUGUGAAAUCCCUCGGCUCAACCGAGGAAUUGCACUCGAUACUGGUUGGCUAGAGUCCGGGAGGGGAUGGUGGAAUUCCCAGUGUAGCGGUGAAAUGCGUAGAUAUUGGGAAGAACACCGGUGGCGAAGGCGGCCAUCUGGACCGGAACUGACGCUGAGGCGCGAAAGCCAGGGGAGCGAAUGGG